rnacentral:tRNA from 1 species
GGGGGAGUGGCGGAAUUGGCAGACGCGCAUGACUUAGGAUCAUGUGGUGUAUACCGUGCGGGUUCAAGUCCCGCCUUCCCCAUCA